rnacentral:rRNA from 1 species
UACGUAGGCAGCAAGCGUUGUUCGGAGUUACUGGGCGUAAAGGGUGCGUAGGUGGCUCUAUAAGUAUGGUGUGAAAUCUCCCGGCUUAACUGGGAGGGUGCGCCGUAGACUGUGGGGCUAGAGUGUGGGAGAGGAAAGUGGAAUUCCUGGUGUAGCGGUGAAAUGCGUAGAUAUCAGGAGGAACACCGGUGGCGAAGGCGGCCAGCUGGCUCUGACCUGACGCUGAGGAGCGAAAGCGUGGGGAGCGAACAGG